rnacentral:rRNA from 1 species
UACGGGGGGGCAAGCGUUGUUCGGAAUUACUGGGCGUAAAUGGCUCGUAGGCGGCCAACUAAGUCGGAUGUGAAAUCCCCAGGCUUAACCUGGGAAUUGCAUCCGAUACUGGAUGGCUUGAAUCCGGGAGAGGGAUGCGGAAUUCCAGGUGUAGCGGUGAAAUGCGUAGAUAUCGGGAGGAACACCUAUGGCGAAGGCAGCUCGCUGGGACGUUACUGACGCUGAGACGCGAAAGCGUGGGGAGCAAACAGG